GAUGAACGCUGGCGGCGUGCCUAAUACAUGCAAGUCGAGCGAACGGACGAGAAGCUUGCUUUUCUGAUGUUAGCGGCGGACGGGUGAGUAACACGUGGAUAACCUACCUAUAAGACUGGGAUAACUUCGGGAAACCGGAGCUAAUACCGGAUAAUAUUUUGAACCGCAUGGUUCAAAAGUGAAAGACGGUCUUGCUGUCACUUAUAGAUGGAUCCGCGCUGCAUUAGCUAGUUGGUAAGGUAACGGCUUACCAAGGCAACGAUGCAUAGCCGACCUGAGAGGGUGAUCGGCCACACUGGAACUGAGACACGGUCCAGACUCCUACGGGAGGCAGCAGUAGGGAAUCUUCCGCAAUGGGCGAAAGCCUGACGGAGCAACGGCGCGUGAGUGAUGAAGGUCUUCGGAUCGUAAAACUCUGUUAUUAGGGAAGAACAUAUGUGUAAGUAACUGUGCACAUCUUGACGGUACCUAAUCAGAAAGCCACGGCUAACUACGUG
rnacentral:rRNA from 1 species